GAAUGAAGCAAGGCUUUAUAAGGGGAGCAGUGUCCGUCUCGGCGCCAGUCUUCAACAUGAACGCACUUCCGCUGUUUCUUCUUCUGGUGUGCGUCUGUGCGUCGGCCAGCGGGUUCGUCGUCCCUUGCGAUGCGUGCGAUAAAACCGCGUGUCCUGCGGUGAGUCUGGAUUCUUGCCAGCAUGGGCUUGUCACCGACGUGUGCGACUGCUGCGAAAUGUGUGCAAAGGUGUUUAUUUUCCCGUUGGUAUUUGAUCUAUUAGAAUAAUCAGAAAAUAUAGGGGGAAAAUACAAGAUUUUUUUGUUAUGAAGAACCACACGAAACCAAUGGCUCUCCACAUCUGAACUAAAACCAGAGUCUGAUUCCCACAGGGACUAAAUGAGCCUUGUAAAGCCGAUGAAAAAUGCGGCAGUGGCUUGUAUUGCGAAUCAAUUCCACUCUCCCAUGGUGACGGCGUCUGCGUGCAACUUUGAACUUAAGCAUUCUUUGUUGCAUGUUUAUGACUUAUGUUACCUCAUCCUUUGGGGAUGUACAAAACCACAUGUCUCAAUAAACUUGUCCAAGUCAAAGUUUCUAUCACUUUUAUAAAAUAUUAUUUACUUAUGGCAUUGAACUGCAAUAUAGACUUUAGCCUAAAUUAUCGCAUGUGAUUUGUAUACAUAACAUCUGGCAUGUAUCAAUAAAACUAAAAAAAAUGUAGUAAAUAUAAA
rnacentral:misc_RNA from 1 species